rnacentral:rRNA from 1 species
AUGGAGCAGCGCAUCGCGGAGCUCGAGAAGUGUAUCGAGGCCCUGGAAGCGGGCGCUGCCAAGUGCCUCGAGGGGUCGCAUCCCGUCCGCCAGCUCGAGGAGCGCGUGGCCCGCCUUGAGGUUGACCACCAGAAGCAGACCGCCCAGUAUCUUCGUCGAGGUCGAUCAGAAGAUGGUGACGCUCGAGCUGAAACUGGACAAGGCGUAGUUCGAGCAGUACAAGGAGGUGCGGCCAAGCUGAACAAUCUCCAGGUCAGGUGCGGCACUUCAUCUGACCAGAUCCAGGCUCUUGCGGUCGCAUCAGCCGCACGCGACAUCAAGGUGGACAAGCAGCAUGUCCAGUGUCUUCUACAGAUCAAGAAGAACACAUGGAAAGUUGCCUGUGCCGUCCUCCUGGCGUUUCUGUGGUAG